rnacentral:snoRNA from 2 species
ACCCUCUCACGGUCGCACCUGGAGAGUUUCCAGUCCUCUACCAGUCUCGGCUAUGGCAGGGAGAGUCAAGCAGAGGCCUGUCCGUUCCAUUCCUAGCUUGGCCAGUGGCUAGCGAGUGGAAGGCAAUCUGCUACGAGU